AUGUAACCCGUUUAUUUUCAUUUUUUAAGACUAUUUUAUUUCACAAAUAAAAGCCCCUAUAUUAUCAUAAACCAAAUACCACGUCAAAGAUCACAAGCAAAAAAAAGAAAAGCUCGUAAAUUGUGCAAGGUUGGAAAUGUCUAUCUAAUCAGAAUAAUUUCGACAGUCAAAAACUGCGGGACCUCUAUCAAGAUGAAAAUAAGUGCAAGUUGAGGGGAAGAAAAGUUUCCAACUGUAAACAUAAAAAUAUAUGGUUACAAUUCGCUCGACUGAUUCAUCGGGAACCUUAUUCGCGUUGCAGAUUAUCAAAUUACAACAACAAGAAGAAGAAGAAGAAGAAAAGGUCCCUAGGGACGGUCCAGCGUUUACAAGUAUGCGUGCGGCCAGGCCUCCACAAACACACACACAUCCAUCUCCGAAAUGAUAUUCGGGCGAAUUGUUUUUACCUCUUAGCACUUUUUUGACACAUGCAACUCAACGUUUGUUGCUAUUUUCGUUAAUUAAUAUUUAAUUAUUUCUAACAAAUAAAUAUUUCCCGCGACACACGCAAAUGUAA